AGUGAACGCUGGCGAUAGGCCUAACACAUGCAAGUCGAACGGCAGCACAGUAAGAGCUUGCUCUUACGGGUGGCGAGUGGCGGACGGGUGAGGAAUACAUCGGAAUCUACUUUUUCGUGGGGGAUAACGUAGGGAAACUUACGCUAAUACCGCAUACGACCUACGGGUGAAAGCAGGGGAUCUUCGGACCUUGCGCGAUUGAAUGAGCCGAUGUCGGAUUAGCUAGUUGGCGGGGUAAAGGCCCACCAAGGCGACGAUCCGUAGCUGGUCUGAGAGGAUGAGCAGCCACACUGGAACUGAGACACGGUCCAGACUCCUACGGGAGGCAGCAGUGGGGAAUAUUGGACAAUGGGCGCAAGCCUGAUCCAGCCAUACCGCGUGGGUGAAGAAGGCCUUCGGGUUGUAAAGCCCUUUUGUUGGGAAAGAAAAGCAGCAGGUUAAUACCCCGCUGUUCUGACGGUACCCAAAGAAUAAGCACCGGCUAACUUCGUG
rnacentral:rRNA from 1 species